GAUGAACGCUGGCGGCGUGCCUAAUACAUGCAAGUCGAGCGAACAGACGAGGAGCUUGCUCCUCUGACGUUAGCGGCGGACGGGUGAGUAACACGUGGAUAACCUACCUAUAAGACUGGGAUAACUUCGGGAAACCGGAGCUAAUACCGGAUAAUAUAUUGAACCGCAUGGUUCAAUAGUGAAAGACGGUUUUGCUGUCACUUAUAGAUGGAUCCGCGCCGCAUUAGCUAGUUGGUAAGGGAACGGCUUACCAAGGCAACGAUGCGUAGCCGACCUGAGAGAGGAUCGGCCACACUGGAACUGAGACACGGUCCAGACUCCUACGGGAGGCAGCAGUAGGGAAUCUUCCGCAAUGGGCGAAAGCCUGACGCAGCAACGCCGCGUGAGUGAUGAAGGUCUUCGGAUCGUAAAACUCUGUUAUUAGGGAAGAACAAAUGUGUAAGUAACUAUGCACGUCUUGACGGUACCUAAUCAGAAAGCCACGGCUAACUACGUG
rnacentral:rRNA from 1 species